ensembl:lncRNA
CUGGGUUAAUUGUUGGACCCCACAAUCUUAAAGGUCUUUUCCAAUCUAAAUCAUUCUAUGAUUCUAUAAAGCCAGAGGGUACAAAUUGAAUACUGCUCCUCUGCUGUACACCUCUGAAUAUUAUGAGGCUCAACUACUGCUCAGAUCUCAAACACUAGCAACAUAAAUAAGCCUCCAGUUGAGGUCCCCAUGCUGCAUAGAAUAGCUCAUCACACACUUCUUGAUACUGUCCAUCACUACGGGUCGAAUGUCAUUGUGAUAGAUAAUCUAAAAACUACAGUGGAAGCAUUUUAGCUCCAAAGUUUUAAAACUUUUCCCCAAAUAAGAAUAUUUUCCACAAAACACUUUUUAAUAUUGACAAACAAACCGAACACAGCAUUUCAGACUUAGCCAUUUCCAAAAGCUGCAGCAGCAGGGAGCAGCCUUCUCAAAGGACACAAAUCUGCUGCUUGUUAUUUGAGAAAAAAUGAGAGGCGGCUUUUCAUAUGUAAUUUAUGAGUUUGACAUACAGCUGGAUUACGGAUCUGGCUGUUUCUGUGGGCAUCCAUCAGCUAUAUUAUCUUUGAAGAUCUGGCUCUAGCUUCAUUUUGCUUAAGUCUUCAUUCCUGCCAGUAGUCACAUUAGUCCCAGAUGGGUCAUUCAAAGCCAACUGCUCCCCAGAGAAUCCUUUCUCAGCUGUACAAGAGAGGAAACUACACCACUGAGUGGAUGUUUUAAAUCACCGUUAAAACCAUAAGCACAAACAUCUUGCAACACUAGGAUCGACAUGCUUAUUGCAAUACACCAUCUCACAUAUGUGACAAUAUCCAUUUGAAGUAAUUUGUAGCAUUUUCUUCAUUAUUGGGCUUCUCAGGCUGAGCUGCAUGAUCAAACCUGUUCAGAGCAGAUGCCCACUAGCAGGCCAGCAAGGGCCAACAGUUAGAAGAUGUGCUUUAGAAAAAUGGCUUUAAUUAUUUCAGAAGCAAAAACAUCAUAUGCAAAACCACCCCAACAUUUGCAUUUUAGAGCAACUCAGUUUUAUUGAAAAUAAUCUUUUUCCAAGCCAUUUGAAUACAACAAUCCACACAGUACUUAUACUGUCAGAGAGAUGAACAAAACAUAUUACAAUCUAGCAGAAAUAAUUGCUCCCUGUUGUUUAUUGAGAAUUCCCCGAGGUGCCUGUAAAUAUAGCCCUCGAGAGGUGACUAAAGCGGAUGGUGUUUUUCUUUUGCAUUCAGGAACAUUACUUAUUAAUUUGUCUGUGUUAACUUCAGCUGCAUGACAAUUCCCCAUUUCAAAAAUUUGAAGUCAAAGGCAGGGCCAUCUUAAUCGUUUCUCCUUAGAUUACACUGGGGUUACACUGGGGCAUGUGGAUAACUCACCACAAAACACUCAGAGAAGAAAAUACAUGAGCAUUCUGGGGCAAAGCAGCUUACUGGCUGCAAGUUCACUUGUGCUGAAGAGCCUGGCACAGCCCUAUGUCACAGAGCAGUACCACAGAGAAAACCAGUUUGAGUGCAAUGCCACAUUAGCAGGGCUCACUUAGAAGCAACAUCAGAUGAAUGUGGCUCAAGUCAGCAGCAGCUCAGCUAUUUCUGCAGCAUGCUGACACAGCUAAAGCCUUCAAUUUCUAUUCUGAAAGCAAAGGCUCAGAUCAGGCAUGGUGAUUAGGUGCUUACCUAUGCACGCCAUUCUCCAGCACUUCUCUGCACCAACUGCUACAUUUGCAAAUGGCACCAGUCCUUUAGAAAGAGGAUCCUUUAGACUUCCUUUUCUCUAAAGUGUGCAGUUGCUCCCACUAUCAUCCAGUUGCAAAGACUUAAUCCUACAGACCAAGCACCCCCCACUUCAAAGUUUGUUAAAACCAGAAUGGGAAUUCUUACACACAGCCAUUCCCA